rnacentral:rRNA from 1 species
UGAGGAAUAUUGGGCAAUGCCCGCAAGGGUGACCCAGCAACGCCGCGUGGAGGAUGAAUGUCGUAAGAUUGUAAACUCCUGUUAGAGGGGAAGAAUAGUACCGGUUGGACCGGUAUAUGACUGUACCCUCAGAGAAAGCCCCGGCUAACUACGUGCCAGCAGCCGCGGUAAUACGUAGGGGGCAAGCGUUGUCCGGAUUUACUGGGUGUAAAGGGCGCGCAGGCGGGAUAAAUAGUCAGUGGUGAAAUCCUACAGCUUAACUGUAGAACUGCCUUUGAUACUUUUAUUCUUGAGUUCGGGAGAGAGUGACGGAAUUCCAGGUGUAGUGGUGAAAUACGUAGAUAUCUGGAAGAACACCAGUUGCGAAGGCGGUCUCUUGGUCCGACACUGACGCUGAGGCGCGAAAGCGUGGGGAGCAAACA